GUCUAAACAGACUUUUUCACUGUGUCUUGC
rnacentral:piRNA from 1 species